UCUUCGAUCGUCUGAGGAAUAACUCUGGUGGAACAAUGCACUGGAAUGACACACGCCCUGCACAUUUCAGGAUACUAAAAGUGGUUUUAAAGGAGGCCCUGGCUGAAUGCCUCAUGGAUUCUUACAGCUUGGAUGUCCAUGCGGGAUGAAGGACCGCAGCUGGCUGCGAGGACUGAGAUCUCUGUUUACUUGGGUCUCUGCCAACUUCCUUUGGGUCUCCCUAUGGAAUGUAAGACCCCGACUCUUCCUGGUGAAGCAUCGGAUGCAUGUUCCGUCCGGCGCUCAGCUGGACUUGAGAAUCCUGUUACACCUGGGAUUUAGGCACUUUCAAUCUGAAAAAAACAUAUCCCUUCGGCACUCUGGAUGGACUUGAGAAUUGUCCUUACCUGAACUAAAGCUGGAGUAUUUUGAGAUUGGAGAAUUAAGGAGACAGCACGAAUUCUCCUACAUGUUCACCACACAACUGGUGCUGUGAGAGAGACGAAGAUGAGUCACGCCUGUACUGCUCUUUAAACACUCACAAUCGAAUGGUUAUCCUGGCCAGAAAGCCAUAGCUUUUCCUCAUCAGAGCUUCAGUGCUAUGGAAACUUGAAGUUUGGAGGGUCUGAUGUCUCAGUCUGGAUGAGGACGAGUUCCCUGCCAUUCCUGGGUCAGCA
rnacentral:lncRNA from 1 species